UACGAGGGGGGCAAGCGUUGUUCGGAAUUACUGGGCGUAAAGCGUGCGCAGGCGGUUCGCUAAGACAGAUGUGAAAUCCCCGGGCUUAACCUGGGAACUGCAUUUGUGACUGGCGGGCUAGAGUAUGGCAGAGGGGGGUAGAAUUCCACGUGUAGCAGUGAAAUGCGUAGAGAUGUGGAGGAAUACCAAUGGCGAAGGCAGCCCCCUGGGCCAAUACUGACGCUCAUGCACGAAAGCGUGGGGAGCAAACAGG
rnacentral:rRNA from 1 species